rnacentral:rRNA from 1 species
GACGAACGCUGGCGGCGUGCUUAACACAUGCAAGUCGAACGGAAAGGCCCUGCUUUUGUGGGGUGCUCGAGUGGCGAACGGGUGAGUAACACGUGAGUAACCUGCCCUUGACUUUGGGAUAACUUCAGGAAACUGGGGCUAAUACCGGAUAGGAGCUCCUGCUGCAUGGUGGGGGUUGGAAAGUUUCGGCGGUUGGGGAUGGACUCGCGGCUUAUCAGCUUGUUGGUGGGGUAGUGGCUUACCAAGGCUUUGACGGGUAGCCGGCCUGAGAGGGUGACCGGCCACAUUAGGACUGAGAUACGACCCAGACUCCUACGGGAGGCAGCAGUGGGGAAUAUUGCGCAAUGGGCGAGAGCCUGAUGCAGCAACGCCGCGUGCGGGAUGACGGCCUUCGGGUUGUAAACCGCUUUCGCCUGUGACGAAGCGUGAGUGACGGUAAUGGGUAAAGAAGCACCGGCUAACUACGUG